UCAGACGAUGCGUCAUGCAUAUCAAUAAGCGGAGGAAAAGAAACUAACAAGGAUUCCCUUAGUAACGGCGAGUGAAGCGGGAAGAGCUCAAAUUUGAAAUCUUCAAGGUUUUACCUUGACGAAUUGUAGUUUAAAGAAGUGUUUUCUGUUGAAGUUUUGGUAAAAGUUCUUUGGAAUAGGACAUCAUAGAGGGUGAGAAUCCCGUAUUUGACCAUUAUUUUCAGCUGUGUGAUACACUUUCAAAGAGUCGGAUUGUUUGGGAAUGCAGUCCAAAAUGGGUGGUAAAUUUCAUCUAAAGCUAAAUAUUGGCGAGAGACCGAUAGCGAACAAGUACCGUGAGGGAAAGAUGAAAGAACUUUGAAAAGAGAGUUAAACAGUACGUGAAAUUGUCAAAAGGGAAGCGUUUGACACCAGUGUUGUUUUCUCGAAAAUCAAUUAAAAAGAGUUGGAUUUUGUGUUGUAUUGACCUUAACAGCUUGCUUCACUCUUUUCCUGCUUUUUUUAAUGCACUUUUCGUUUAACAAGUCAACAUCAGUUUCUUUUGUUGUAAAAGGGUAAGAGGAAGGUGGCUUUCUCUUCGGAGAAAGUGUUUAUAGCCUUUGAUCUCUGCAAUCGGAGAGACUGAGGUCUGCAGCGUAGAUCCUUCGGGGUUAGAUACAUUUGUGCUAAGCUACAGCUUUUCAUAGACAACUUGUUGACUAUGUUUAGUCUUGUAACUUACCCGCUUAUGCUAUUUUACCUACGCUUAGGAUGUUGAUAUGCAUGACUGAUAU
rnacentral:rRNA from 1 species